rnacentral:snoRNA from 1 species
CCACAGUAAUGACAAAUUAUUUGCUACUCUUUAUCAUAAGAUGAUGAGAGUUAAUACCACCAUUAUCAUAACUGAGUAA